UAAUACGUAGGGGGCGAGCGUUGUCCGAAGUUACUGGGCGUAAAGCGCGCGUAGGCGGCCACUUAAGUCUGGGGUGAAAGGUUCAGCGCUCAACGCGAACAGUGCCUUGGAUACUGGGUGGCUUGAGUCUGGGAGAGGGUAGUGGAAUUCCUGGUGUAGCGGUGAAAUGCGUAGAUAUCAGGAGGAACACCGGUGGCGAAGGCGGCUACCUGGCCUAAGACUGACGCUGAGGUGCGAAAGCGUGGGGAGCGAACGGGAUUAGAUACCCCGGUAGUCCACGCCGUAAACGAUGAGUGCUAGGUGUUCGGGGUAUCGACCCCCCGGGUGCCGCCGCUAACGCAGUAAGCACUCCGCCUGGGGAGUACGGCCGCAAGGUUG
rnacentral:rRNA from 1 species